GCACAGGUGUGUGGGGUUGUGCUGGGCGGGACACGAGCAUGUUUCCUGAUGCAGUCUGGGAGGGCAGGAGCAGUGUUAGAAGCUUGCAGUGAUGAAAGGGAGUUGAGGUUCCUGAAGGAGUGUGAAAGUGUCAUUUGCUGCAAAAAGUUGGAAUUGUGGAUACCCUGCAUCCUGAACCUGCUGCAGACGGUCUGGAGUACCUGCAGGAGAGCAAAGGCAGUAGAACUGCAUUCGUACUUUGUGGGAGUGAAUUACAGCGAGGACUUCUACCUCCCGCAACUAUACCCAGGUUAAUGUACCAGUGCACACCAACUGCUUAGGAAUACGUGACAACUCUGUUCUGGGUGCUGGACUGAGAACACCAAACUCGUUUCAUGAGUGAAAGCUUUCAGAAGAACAGUUCUCGGUAAAGGAGAGAAUUUCAAAUACCUUCAUAAAUGCAGCGUUGGAUGUUUGUCUCAGCCAACUUUCUAAAUUUUCCUUUUCCUGCCAGAAAUUUUCUUUUCUAAAAAUAUUUGACUUUGCUGUCUAAUCUAGAGAUGGAUAAUAUAGUGCUGACUUUAAAAAUCUGACUGGUGCAGGAUAUAAGAAUGACUUCUAAAACAGUGCCUGAGUCACUUUGGAACGCAUUUUAUAACCAAAUGCACUGUUCAGGGCAUGGUGUGGUUUCUGCACAACCCCCUGCUUCCCCCAGUUACCAUUACUGCCUUCCUAAUCUGCUAGAGCAUUUAGUGCCCUCCUCUUAUCCUAAGAAAAAUACAAUUGCUGGCUCUGAUAUUCAUUAAGUGAUAAUCCAGAUUAAUUCAGACUUUGAUGUAGAAUCAGGUCCCAUUUCAGCCACAAAGAAAUUCACAUUGCCCCACAGAAAAUGCAUGCGCGCACACAUGCAUAUAUACACGCUCAGGCAGUAUGUAGAAUGCCUUAAAGAAACUGUAGCUAACCACCUUAUUAGUAUUCCUCCCUCCUCUGUGUUUCACUUGCAGCAACAGAGGGCUGAGCAAAAUGCAGUAGAACAGGGACAGAGACAGAGCUGGCAAUCAUCUCAGUGCAGGCUGCUGAAUGUAGGGGGUGGGGGGGAUGCAGCAAAGCAAGAUUAAUAACCUUGCCAUAAUCCUGUGCACCCUGGAAGGAGAUACCUCUGGUGACUGAGCUGUUCUUGUCUUGAUUAAUUGGACUGAGCGAAUGAGUGGCUGGCAAUCCACCUGGUUUGGAGGCGACCCCCUGGUUUUGCUGCUCUCUGAAUCCUCUACCCAUCUGGGAAGGUAACAGUGAGACGUACCAUCUGCAGCACACACAGCAGCUAUUGGAGGCUACUACUGACAGUUUGCACUACAGUUUUUUGGUGAGCAAGAAGCCAGGUAUAUUGUGCAGUAGGAUAUUUCUGUGCUCAAGCUACUGAAUUUUUGCAAUCUGGUCCUUCAGCAACCCCCUAUGCGCCCUCUUCCAAUUGCCUUUGAGUUCUGGGCUUACUUUUGGCAUAGUCUCCUGGACGCAUUUUGCUGGGGAUGGAAGAGCAGUAAAUGGAACCUCUGAAAACUAAUUGUUUUGCUUCUGUGUGACUUGAGAGAGAGAAAAGCAAGAAGAAUCAAGUGCAGCUUGAGGAAUUUACGUUUCUUUUGGAGAAGUUUGCAGAGGGACCAUAAA